AAAGCUGCUCAAGUAGCUUUGAGGCAUUCCUUUUUUCCUCCUCCCCACCAUAUGGAGGCAUUCCCUUUUUCCUCCGCCUGGGUCUGGUGAGGAUGCACCUGUCUUCUGUUAGAAAUUCAAGGAGGUGGGUGACGAUCUUUUCAAAAUUGAUGCAUUUCAUUCCAUGGUUGGAAAUGGAUUAGUUCUCAACUUGGGCAAAGAGAAGAUGUGCGCCAUGUUCCCCUGUCAUGGCAACCAUAACCACAGGUUCCUUGUUUAAAUAUUCAUUUUUCAAGUUUCCAAACUGUCGUCCACUGAACAACAACAUCCUACCAAGCGAGCCAAGGGCCCCAAAAUAUGUCCUGAACCAAUACCAGAGGAUUUCAUAUCCAUCACUUGUCUGCACAAGGGUCUGUACAACUUGGAUGAGUUUGGCUAUAAUUUGCCAUGCACAACUGCUGCCUUCUAUAUUUUCUCAGCUACCAAACAGGACCAUUAGUACAUUUUAAAAGGACAAGCUCCAGCAGAGAGACACACCUGAAAUUUCCGAAAACCAAAUGGACUCGCUCCAGCACGUAGAAAAGAGAAUGAGCCUUCAUUGAGUUGAGGAUCAUAUUAUCAAAUGGACUCGCUUUGGUUUCUCGGAGGAGUCGAGGUGGAGUUUCGUCACAAUCGAAGGCCGGCUCCUUGAAGAGAUCGAUGUUCGCAACACUAAGCCACAUCACUUCCCUCAAAUUUCAGAAAACCAAAUUCCGGGAAAAUCUUUGAAUAUUUGGGUCAAACUAUGUACCGAGAACAGCUUGGAGUUACCGUACCUCCAAAUUUCAACAUAUGGGAUUGUUACAUGUUUAAGGAAUUAAUAUUGCUAGAUUGACAAUUUAUAGGGCGAUAAAGAGAUCGACAAUGUAGAAUGAGAUUUUAUUAUCCAUAUGAAGAGGAAGUUAUGAAA